GAUGAACGCUGGCGGCGUGCCUAAUACAUGCAAGUCGAGCGAACGGACGAGAAGCUUGCUUCUCUGAUGUUAGCGGCGGACGGGUGAGUAACACGUGGAUAACCUACCUAUAAGACUGGGAUAAUUUCGGGAAACCGGAGCUAAUACCGGAUGAUAUUUUGAACCGCAUGGUUCAAAAGUGAAAGACGGUCUUGCUGUCACUUAUAGAUGGAUCCGCGCUGCAUUAGCUAGUUGGUAAGGUAACGGCUUACCAAGGCAACGAUGCAUAGCCGACCUGAGAGGGUGAUCGGCCACACUGGAACUGAGACACGGUCCAGACUCCUACGGGAGGCAGCAGUAGGGAAUCUUCCGCAAUGGGCGAAAGCCUGACGGGGCAACGCCGCGUGAGUGAUGAAGGUCUUCGGAUCGUAAAACUCUGUUAUUAGGGAAGAACAUAUGUGUAAGUAACUGUGCACAUCUUGACGGUACCUAAUCAGAAAGCCACGGCUAACUACGUG
rnacentral:rRNA from 1 species